AGGCAGCAGUGGGGAAUAUUGCACAAUGGGCGCAAGCCUGAUGCAGCCAUGCCGCGUGUGUGAAGAAGGCCUUCGGGUUGUAAAGCACUUUCAGUCGUGAGGAAGGCGGUGUAGUUAAUAGCUGCAUCGUUUGACGUUAGCGACAGAAGAAGCACCGGCUAACUCCGUGCCAGCAGCCGCGGUAAUACGGAGGGUGCGAGCGUUAAUCGGAAUUACUGGGCGUAAAGCGCAUGCAGGUGGUUUGUUAAGUCAGAUG
rnacentral:rRNA from 1 species